rnacentral:pre_miRNA from 1 species
ACUUAGCCUUGGAAUGACACGAUCACUCCCGUUGAGCCGAAACACAUAGCGCCAUCGGGAAUAUCGUGUCGCUCCAAAGCUCUCU